rnacentral:rRNA from 1 species
UGGAGCAUGUGGUUUAAUUCGAAGCAACGCGAAGAACCUUACCAGGUCUUGACAUCCCGAUGCUAUUUCUAGAGAUGAAAGUUACUUCGGUACAUCGGUGACAGGUGGUGCAUGGUUGUCGUCAGCUCGUGUCGUGAGAUGUUGGGUUAAGUCCCGCAACGAGCGCAACCCCUAUUGUUAGUUGCCAUCAUUCAGUUGGGCACUCUAGCGAGACUGCCGGUAAUAAACCGGAGGAAGGUGGGAUGACGUCAAAUCAUCAUGCCCCUUAUGACCUGGGCUACACACGUGCUACAAUGGUUGGUACAACGAGUUGCGAGUCGGUGACGGCGAGCUAAUCUCUUAAAGCCAAUCUCAGUUCGGAUUGUAGGCUGCAACUCGCCUGCAUGAAGUUGGAGUUGCUAGUAACCGCGCGUCAGCUAUAGUGCGGUGAAUACGUUCCCGGGGCUU